GGGGUUGCCGCCGGCGGGUCCGAACUGCGGGCGUACUGUGGGGGACCGGAGCCGCGCCUGCCUCUUGGCUAUUGGCUUCUUUCCCAACUCGUGCAGCUCCCUCUGCUCCUGCAUGAAAUUUCAGUGGGAAAAAAUGGAUUCUGUGAGUUUGCUGCUUCUUUUCUUCUCGGCAGUGGCUGUGAGCAGAGCCCAGGUGCAGCAGGAGCCGUCGGCAGAGACCAGCGAGGGCACCGGCAUCAACAUCACCUGCUCACACCCCAACAUCCAGUCUUAUGAUUACAUCCACUGGUACCGCCAGCUCCCUGGCCGACGACCCGCAUUCCUCGUCAACGCCGUUAAAGGCUCCAAGGAGGUGCCGAACCCGGCGGGGCGGCUGUGGGUGUCGGUAGACCGCCGCUCCAGCGCCCUGUGGCUCGCCCGGCCCCGGCUCGGCGACGCGGCCGUGUAUUACUGCGCAGUGGGCGCACGGGAAGCGAAGCCGGGGCUGCGGCCGGGCACGAACCGCUUUGGGCGGGGCGGGGGCACAGUGCCGUCCGGGCCCGCAGGGGGCGCUGCCUGCAUGGCCGCCAAACUCCAUCCUGACCAGGGCGCACCUCCCUGAGUUCUCGAUAGUAAUGGGUACGGCGCCCAUAGCAGCCAUUGACUGCGGCCAGUGUCCAUCAGACACAGCUGAGCCUGAGGUGGGCACGCCAGCACGCCGUGUAUUUGUGGGAACUGCAGGACUGACUGCAUGUGGUGUGUUUGACACCAGAAGGGCAUUCACGCUGUUCUGUUCCAUCCUCUAUCCUCUCCUACUUCCCCACUGAAGCACAUAUGUGAA